rnacentral:lncRNA from 1 species
UGGGAAUGUUGAUGUCUGCGGAAGAUAUUCUCUAGGAAAUAAAAAUAAGUUACUGUGAAAUGAAAUCCAUGAUGAUUUCCCAGAGAAACUUAUUUUGUGUGUAAAUAUCAAAGAGAAAUGGCAGUACCUUGCUUUUCUGGAAGGGAAGUAAUCAAUUUGAUUGUAAGACAAUGCACAUUCUGUAAACUGUAAGAUAGUGUUGAGUUUUUAAAUAUUAGCACCUAAAACGUAAAGCUAAGAUUUAAACAUUUCUAGUAGCUUUUUGGUCAUGCAUGACUUAUAGCUUGCUUGACAGAUACAACUUCAACAGUGUAGUCUUAGUGUCCUGUGAGAUCCUUCUAAUGAAAGCAUAUAUGUCUGGAUUCCACUACAUUUUAUAUGUGUAACUUUCAUACAGGACGCUUUGCAUAUGUUCAAGCUGGAGGGAUGAGACCUCACAGUAGCAAAAGGUACAGACAGAGCAAAGAGGUUGCACUUAAUAGCAAAAAUUGGAAAACUUGGAAUAUGUGAUAUAGUUACAAGCUGGUACCUUCAGUGCACACAGAGCUACAAAUUUGCGUGUUUAGAAGAAGACAUCCAACAUGUGCAUACUCACAUGCUGACACAGAGUUCAUGCAAGCUAUUACAAAAAAGAACAAGUUAGAAACUUUCACCCCUCAGAGAUGCUGCAUAUACUUCAUCCUCAGAUAAACUGAAGUCUCCUCAGAAGCAACAGGGACCUAAUGUGCAGAUUGACUCAAGCAACGUGUAAUUGCUUCUUCUGCAAUAAGUGAGCAGCAGUAUCCAACAGGAAAUUUCAUUGAAUUGUACUUCACUUCAAACACCGUUAAGUCCAAACCUAGGUUCAUUUGUCACUAAGCAAUAAGACUACCUCUAAAGAAAGGUUAUUUUCUUGGAGGAAGGACAUUUUCUUCAUAGUAGCCUGGAUUUACUACAUUUCCAGCUGGAUCGUACCUAGCCACCACAAAUGUAGAACCGUCACUAGCAGACGCUUUUCCAACUCCCAUUUUCUUUGUGCUCUUCCAAACCAUCGCUGUGAAAUGACCUGUCCCUGAAGAAAACCCUGGGUUUUGAAAGCUGUAAUUCUUUAUUUCACUGUACCAUCUGUCGGCAACAUCCUUCCCUGGUUGAUCGUAGGAUGCCCAGGCCAAGUUUUCUCCACAUUUUCCACUAGCAGACUCAGAGCUGUGUUUGAGGAUCCUUGAGGCUGCCAGCUCCUCUGCAUACUGUUGGGCUCCUCUGUUUAACUUCUUGCAGAGUUUUAAGGGGGGGACUCCGUGUUUCUUCCUGUAGUCAUUGUGUGCUUUCAAGACCUCUUCAGCAAAUUGUUUGGAAGCUGAUUUUCCCAUGAUGAAGCUGUGAUUUUUUUUUUUUUUUCGGUUCCACCUGAUGCCCACUUUCUCUCGCCUGAAUUCCUCCGCUCAGACGAAGGGCUUUGUAAUUUCACUGCAACUUCUUCACUCUGCCGCGAGCGCUGCCAGAGAAACUCCACUGAAAUAACCCGUUACCGCCCCUUUCUCAGUGCUUAGGGAAGCCUGCCCAUGCCUUAUAAGGAAUAGGGGCACUGCUUUUUUUCUCUAAAAGAUUCUGUUUGGGGUCGGGAGUUAUGUAGCCUCCGCAGUAACCAAGCAGCUCAAAACCACCGCAUGUUUUUUACAUACCGAU